ensembl:lncRNA
UGUCUAGUUGACGAGGUCUUCACAGGGGAUCUGUUUCCAGGGUUUGUCUAGUUGAUGAGAUCUUCACUGAUAUUCAGGGCUGUAGAGGUCGUCUCGAAGGGCCACGUUCCUUUCCUUUCAGACUGCAGUGAGGACAGUGUCACUCUGACUGAUGGCGGGAGCUCUGAGACGGGCUGUGUUGGAGGUAGUGGAGCGUGUAUUGAACGCUAACUCACUCUCCACGAUUUCCUCUUUCUUCACAUCCCUGUACAGUUCUCCUGGGCCAGCCUGUCUCCUUUAGUGUGACCUUGUGACCAGCGCUGUGGUGGGCUCACUGUGACACUUCCAUGCUGCUGGGUGUCAACAGUGAUGAUGGUUGGCCUUCAGUCCCAGAUGGCUCCCAUAUGGUUGAACACACCUUCAGUGUCUGUGAUUGAUCCCUUCCCCGCUAAACACCCUCGCGAGACCAGCGAAGUGCUGCAUGGGGAAGAAAUUGUGCAAAAGAAGCAGAUACCACAUUAUGAGCUGCAAAAUAUAUGUCGUGGCAUGGGCAGCAGGAAAUAGGGGGUUCUGCACAGUUUGGGGGAGUAACUU